rnacentral:rRNA from 1 species
UACGGAAGGCAGCAGUGGGGAAUAUUGCACAAUGGGCGAAAGCCUGAUGCAGCUAUGCCGCGUGUAUGAAGAAGGCCUUAGGGUUGUAAAGUACUUUCAUCGGGGAGGAAAAAACAAAACUAAUAAUUUUAUUUCUUGACGUUACCCGAAAAAGAAGCACCGGCUAACUCCGUGCCAGCAGCCGCGGUAAUACGGAGGGUGCUAGCGUUAAUCAGAAUUACUGGGCGUAAAGAGCGCGUAGGUGGUUUUUUUAAGUCAGAUGUGAAAUCCCUGGGCUUAACCUAGGAACUGCAUUUUGAAACUGAAAUACUAGAGUAUCGUAGAGGGAGGUAGAAUUCUAGGUGUAGCGGUGAAAUGCGUAGAUAUCUGGAGGAAUACCUGUGGCGAAAGCGGCCUCCUAAACGAAUACUGACACUGAGGUGCGAAAGCUGGGGAGCAAACAGGGAUUAGAUACC